AGAAGCUCUGCCUCGUCAUUGUCGUCCUCUGAACCCGAGGGACCCUGACGAACUUCUUCAUACCACUUGUUGGUUAGAGUCUUCAUCUGGAUCCGUCCGUGCAUCAGGUCCUGUUAAAUACGUGCUCCAAGUUAGCUAAGUACUGGCACUUAUUCUACUGAAUGCGGAGUAUACACAAGCUUGAAAAAUCCAUCAUUCAGCAAUAUGCAGAGUACUUAAAUUGGCUUAAAGGAUUGCCAGCCAAGUGAUGGAGCGGCCUCCAGUGUGGCGGAGGAUUUCAGUCCGUCUCUCGCCAUCUCUUACCUCCUGGGUGAGCCUUCGGGUGAAGAAGGGGUUAAGGUACUUAGCAUCAAGCCACAUGAAGCCCUUCAGAUCCUGUCGCUGGUGUAUGUGAGCCUCAUAUUCCUCCUCUGUCAGUUCUGAUAGAUGCUCCGACUCAAUGGUAUUCCCCUGGAGAUAGCAAGAAGAAAGUGAGGGUCAGAUAAUCGGAGAGAAAAGGGUUGACUAACUAGCCACAGAUGAAAGGGAUGAAGGAAAAGAAGAUGGACCAUAGAAUUAGAAAAAAAGUCCAAAUGACACGAGUAGUUUUGAGAUCACACUGAAGGAUUGAGUGAAGAGACUGCAAAGGGGAUUUUAAUAGUAGAGAGCAAUGCAAGGCUGAUUCCCAUAAGAAACACAUCAAAUAAGAAAAUUCUGCACACAUCAAAUAAGAAAAUUCUGCACACAAAGAAAUCACGUUUCUCUGUGGUUUAACUGUGUGACUCAGUCAUGAGAGUGGUUUAUAUUGUGAAAAUCUUGUGCCCUUCAUAAACCAUCUCCAACCCUUUCAUGCUUUUCGCUCUCAAGAGAAACCACACAGUCUGAUGGCAGAAGAUGAAGGCAAUGGCACAGCUUGGACCAGUGUGUGUUACCAUUUUUUGCGUCUUGCUCAGAUUGAUGUCCUUCUUAUUCUUGCGCCGUGACUGGCUAUCUUCAAUAUCCAUGAUGCGGAUGAGUGGCAUGGUGCCACCCCCGAGGAGAAGGAUAGUAAAGAGCACGAUGAUGAUAGUGGUGGUGCCGAUCAGUUGCCGCUUCUCGAUUGGCUCCAGGCCAAGAUGCAGGCUCAGAGCAUACGGGAUAGCACCUCUCAAACCUCAAAAAUGCAACAACAAAACAACAAACAUUACAGUAACUAAAUUGCCCAAAAGGUGAGAAUGUGAAUAGUCAACUUUCUACAAACAGAAUUUUUUGAGCCAGCAUUUUUACUAGUGUAAAAAUAAACGUUUGGUGUUCAAUUGCGGGUUUUUUUUUGUUUUGAAGUGGUCCAUAUCUGAUAAACACCAUGCACUGAAAACCGCUUUAUCAGCCAUCUUGUGCAAACACGCAAGUGUAGAUGACUUCCUGU